AUAUAAACAGCCUGAUUUGGGUAGAUGGGUGGAUGGCCCAGAAUGGAGAUGGUAAUAGAAUGAGAAUGCAGCUCAAUUAUUUCUGUUAGUCCAUCCUAAGUUGCUCGGAUUCUUCACUUUUAGUGCCGCACCCGUGUUGACACGAUGUAGGUGUGGCUGUGAGUGUGGUAUCCGUACUAGAUCUGGUCAACCUUUUUUGGUACUUUGACCAAAAUAGAUGGAGAAAUUAGGGACAAAUACAAUGGGUUUUUGAAAGAAAUACCUUGUAUGUAGAAGUUUUUAUGUCAGUCCUUUUCUUUUUAUCUCUUUCUCGGAUUCUCCUCUUGAU
rnacentral:lncRNA from 1 species